UUUUAUAUAAUCUUUUCUAAAUUAGGAUGAUUUGAUAUGUUUAAUAUUAGUGGUCUUAAAAAAUAAUAAAUUAAAGAUUUAAUCCGUAUUGAAACGGUGGAUUAAUUAUAUUUUACCUUUUUAUUAAUGUUGAUUCAAAAACCCGUCACUCCAAAUCCGUCUUGCCAAAAAGCUAUUUAUUUUAUUAAUAUUAAUUUUACUAAUGAUAUGACUCUGAAUUAUAAUUUAAAUAUUUUACCUAAUAACAUAGGAGUACACCAUAUUUAUUUAAUAGGGGAAUGUACCAUAUGACCGAAUGCACUUUUACCCAAAUCCACCAAAAAAGUCUUGCAAAAAUACUAUAGAGAUAAGAAACGAUAGUCGGUUUUGAUAGGUAUAAGAUUAGCAAAUAUAUUAGUUAGCUUAAAUUAGUUAAAAAAUACAAAUCGAAAAGGUAUAUUACACUUUAUUCGAAUAUAGUAUCAAAACUUAUAUAACACAGAGAUUUGAUAAUUUUUUAAUUGUUGAAUACUUUUUUUUUGUGCUAAUUUUUAUAUGAUUAAGAUUUAAUUGAUUUUGUAUAU
rnacentral:sRNA from 1 species